CAAGUGCAGCUCCAAAGUCCCCUUGGUCUUCUUUCCACCAGGUGGGACGGUAAACCAUGCUGGGUCCCCUUGCUGUCCUGUGUGCCCUCCUGUUUUCUGGUGGUGGAGCAGAGCUCAAGCUUGAGCAGACUCCUGUGGUCGUGGGGCGCUUGGGCACCUCGGCCACCCUACCGUGCACAGUGGAUAGCUCAGUCUACUACAUCCACUGGUACUUCCACAAGAAGUUUGCAGCCCCCAAGAGGCUCCUCUACCUAGACAUGUCCAGCUCAAGUGUGCAGAGGGAUACAUCUGUGAAAGCAGACAAAGUCAAUGCCAAGAAAGGCAAAGACAGUUACAGCUGUAACCUGUUGGUGCAGAAGCUGGAGAAGAGCGACGAAGGCGUGUACUACUGCGCUGCUUGGGAAGAGCGCUACUGGUCUGGCUGGUACAACAAAUGGGUUGGUCCUGGCACAAUUCUCAGGGUUACAGAUAAAAGUGCCAAUGAAGACACUUCCCCCAAGCCCACAGUUUUUCUUCCUUCAAUUUCUGAGAUAAAAAUCCAUGAGGCUGGAACAUAUCUUUGUCUUCUUGAGGAUUUUUUUCCUGAAAUUAUCAAGGUAGAUUGGAAAGAAAAGAAUGACGAAACAGUUCUGCAAUCCCAGCAGGGAAACACUAUGAAGACUAAGGACACAUACAUGAAAUUCAGCUGGCUGACCGUGACUGGACUGCCCAAGGAUAAAGAAUACAAAUGUAUUGUCAACCACGAGAGUGAUAGAGGAGGGAUUAAUCAAGAGAUUCUUUUUCCUUCGAUAAAUGAAGAUUUGGUGGCAAGGAUGGAAUCUGAUGUUGACUCCGAAGGGCAUUCAGAGGCAAAGCAAAACACAGAGGUGGUAACUGUGAGCCCUCUAAGUUCACGAUCUUUCCCACCUGGUGCAAGCACUGUGGAACCAGUUGCUCUUAACUCCACAGAAGCUUCCCUGGAUGAUGAAUAUGACUCGCUGCAGCUCAUGAACACCUCUGCCUACUACACCUACCUCCUCCUCCUCCUGAAGAGUCUGACGUACUCCAUCAUCAUCACCAUCUAUCUGCUUGGGAGAUCAGUGCUCGAUGGUAAUGGGAAGAGUUCCUAA